GAUCGAUACUACAUAUCUCUAUCAAGUUUUGCGUGAGUGACUAUUUGUAAGCGUUGCUGAAUAUUGCGUGCGCGGUUUGUUGCUUUGUUGGUAACUCUUUGGGAAAACUCUAUACACUUUGUUUUCUUAUUAGAGACAAAAUUGCUUUGGUCAGAUGUGCGUAAAACCACGACUGAUCAGAGAUUAAAUAAAACUCACUUUUGUUUUCGGACAAAAAACGUGUAUUAUUCAUAGUCAAAACUUGAAGCUAUUCUUUAUUGAAUUGCUGAACUAAACUUAAAACUUUCAACAACGGAUCUCUUGGUUCUCGCAUCGAUGAAGAACGCAGCGAAGUGCGAUAAGUAAUGUGAAUUGCAGAUUUUCGUGAAUCAUCGAAUCUUUGAACGCAUAUUGCGCCCUCUGGUAUUCCGGAGGGCAUGCCUGUUUGAGCGUCAUUUCCUUCUCAUAUCCCUAGGAUGUGGUGAUGAACGACACUUUCGCAAGAAAGUCCGUUUGAAAUGAAUUGGCACGAGUCUUUCGACAGAUUGAUGCUAUGUUUUCAAUGUAUUAGGUUUACACCAUCGUUGAUUGUAGUAUUGGGCUGUUGGAGUUAUGGGCUUUGCCUUACAAACUUUACCUUAAAGUUUGACCUCAAAUCAGUAGGAUUACCCGCUGAACUUAAGCAUAUCAAUAAGCGGAGGAGGGACAUUACAGAAUCUCUUCUAAAGUUUUGCUGUGAGUGACUAUUCUAGCGCUGCUGAAAUAUUGCGUGCGCGUUUGUUGCUUGUGGUACUCUUUGGGAAACUCUAUACACUUUGUUUUCUUAUUAGAGACAAAUGCUUUGGUCCGAUGUGCGUAAACACGACUGUCAAAGUAUAA
rnacentral:rRNA from 1 species